rnacentral:tRNA from 1 species
GUUAAUGUAGCUUAACAUAAAGCAAAGCACUGAAAAUGCUUAGAUGGAUACUACAUUAUCCCAUAAA